UUAAUUAAAAAAAUAAAUAAAAACAAUUAUCUAUAUAAAAUUUGUUCAAAAUAAGUCAUCAUAACGUAAUAACAACUUUAGAAUUAAAGAACAAAUAAACAUUCUCCAUAGUUGAGUUUCAUCACUAAAUUAAAGAACAAAUAACAGUAAAAACAUAGCUCCCAGACCGUCAAUAGAAUCACAGUUAAAGGCAAUACAAAUUUGAUAAUUUAUGAAACACCAAAUAAAUUUAAGAGAUAUAUAAGGAUAGAAGUAGAUGUUAAGAGAUUGAAAAACAUACAGAGUAUCUGUAGGAAUGA
rnacentral:misc_RNA from 1 species